UCCAUAUUCAGCAGAGUUCAAUACACAAACCACAAACAUUACCUUCAUUCAACAUGCUGGCUUUGCAAUACUCCGUAUUUUACUUACUAUUUCUGGCCAUUCUUUCAGGUGUCAGCUGUCAAGAACUCACUCCAGUCAACAAUGAAGAGAACAGUCUAGAAGGCAGCACUGUUACUCUGUCCUACAACUACUCCAAACAAGCUGCUGGCAAUGAUUAUUUCUUCUGGUAUCAACAAUAUCCAGGAAAACCACCAGAGUUCCUCAUGUACAUCUCAGGCAGUAACAUCAUAAAAACAGCAGACUCUCUGAAAUCAGACAAAAGAUUCUUUACUGGACUGUUUGAAGACAAGCGUGGAGUCAAACUGCAGAUCUCCUCUGCUGCAGUGUCUGACUCUGCUGUGUACUACUGUGCUCUGCAGCCCACAGUGACA